rnacentral:rRNA from 1 species
CUUGCCUACGGAGGCAGCAGUGGGGAAUAUUGCACAAUGGGGGAAACCCUGAUGCAGCAACGCCGCGUGACGGAAGACGGUUUUCGGAUUGUAAACUUCUGUUCUUAGUGAAGAAGAAUGACGGUAGCUAAGGAGCAAGCCACGGCUAACUACGUGCCAGCAGCCGCGGUAAUACGUAGGUGGCAAGCGUUGUCCGGAAUUACUGGGUGUAAAGGGAGCGCAGGCGGGAAGCCAAGUCAGCUGUGAAAACUACGGGCUUAACUUGUAGAAUGAAGGUGAAACUGGUUUUCUUGCGUGAAGUAGAG